CCUACGGGUGGCAGCAGUGAGGAAUAUUGGUCAAUGGGCGCGAGCCUGAACCAGCCAAGUAGCGUGAAGGAUGACUGCCCUACGGGUUGUACACUUCUUUUAUAAAGGAAUAAAGUGAGGCACGUGUGCCUUUUUGUAUGUACUUUAUGAAUACGGAUCGGCUAACUCCGUUCCAGCAGCCGCGGUAAUACGGAGGAUUCGAGCGUUAUCCGGAGUUAUUGGUUGUAAGGGGAGCGUAGAUGGGUUGUUAAGUCAGUUGUGAAAGGUUGAGGCUAAACCGUAAAAUUGCAAUUGAUACUGGCAGUCUUGAGUACAGUUGAGGUAGGCGGAAUUCGUGGUGUAGCGGUGAAAUGCUUAGAUAUCACGAAGAACUCCGAUUGCGAAGGCAGCUUACUAAACUGCCACUGACAUUGAUGCUCGAAAGUGUGGGUAUCAAACAGGAUUAGAUACCCCUGUAGUC
rnacentral:rRNA from 1 species